UACAUGACCCAAUCAAGACAUAGGGUAGCUGAAUCAGUAAGAAAACAUGAUCUGCGUAUAUGCUGUCUAUAGGAGACCCACCUCAGAACAAAAGAUCUACACAGGCUGAAAGUGAAGGAAUGGAAAAAAUAUUCCAAGCAAAUGAACAUAAAAAAAAAACAAA